GACGAACGCUGGCGGCGUGCUUAACACAUGCAAGUCGAACGGAAAGGCCCUGCUUUUGUGGGGUGCUCGAGUGGCGAACGGGUGAGUAACACGUGAGUAACCUGCCCUUGACUUUGGGAUAACUUCAGGAAACUGGGGCUAAUACCGGAUAGGAGCUCCUGCUGCAUGGUGGGGGUUGGAAAGUUUCGGCGGUUGGGGAUGGACUCGCGGCUUAUCAGCUUGUUGGUGGGGUAGUGGCUUACAAAGGCUUUGACGGGUAGCCGGCCUGAGAGGGUGACCGGCCACAUGGGGACUGAGAUACGGCCCAGACGCCUACGGGAGGCAGCAGUGGGGAAUAUUGCACAAUGGGCGGAAGCCUGAUGCAGCAGCGCCGCGUGCGGGAUGACGGCCUUCGGGUUGUAAACCGCUUUCGCCUGUGACGAAGCGUGAGUGACGGUAAUGGGUAAAGAAGCACCGGCUAACUACGUG
rnacentral:rRNA from 1 species